rnacentral:lncRNA from 1 species
ACAACCUCCUAGCUUUCCUUGGGUCUUGCACAGAACGGCGUGAUGAGCGACCAUAAUUCCUCAGCAAUGUUUGCUCUGGACACAUGGAAGAGGAAAGAGCAGGUAAGAUGAGCUGGAAAAUCUUUUCUUUUCUUCUGCCUCUCUAGAACUUCAGAAAUGUUCGUUCUCUCGGCAUUUUUUGACCUAUCGGUGCUAUAUUAUUGAGUUUUUAGCAAAUUCAGCAGACUAGUAAUGCUUGUCUUCCUUUAUUAGCAUUCGAGCAGCGCAAUGUGUAACAUUCCUAAAAAGCACCAUGGCAACAUAUCGGUGUUAUUGCCUUCGCGGUCAGCAAUCAGAAGUCUCCAAAGGGUGUCAGAGGAGGAUAACAAAAGUAAUAUGGACACGGCAGCUUCCUUCCAAGGACCUCAAACCACUCCAAGGACACGGUAAGCGUUGUCGUGAUGGUUCUAUGUUAUGGAGGAGCAAGGUAGGAAGAGGUGAAGUGAUUUUAUCGCUGACUUGAUGUGGAAUUGGACAGUGAGGUUCAAAUUAGUAGCUUUUGGUUGUUAAACUCCUCACUUGACAGAGCGCUGUUCUGGUAAUGCCCAAAUCAUGACACCUUUGCCCAAAUUUGCUUUCCGUGGAUGUGCCCCACACUAUGAAUUUCUACCUUUCCUCACAUCCUUGGAGUUCUUCAUUGGUAUUAGUAAAUACUUUUUGCUCCACUGAAGACAUUUUAUUCAUUUGUAAACUAUUCUCAUAUAUCAUCCUAUGUGCUGUCCAUAUAGCUGAGGUAGAACCAUUAUUUUAAAGAUAUUUUCUAACUGAUCUCUGUAUAGUUUGUGUAGAGUGAAAUUAUUGACUUGUCUCAAAAAGGCCUUAAGAUUUUAUAGUUAAUGCUUAAGUUCCCAAAGCACCUUCUAUGGCUGAGCAUCCCUUCUCCUUUGUGUCCUCUUCUUUGAAUCACUAAUUCCAAUUGGUCUCAGAAAAAACCAGCAAUAGUUUGUCCUUACUCUGCUUUCUGCUAUAACUGUGACCUCCCGAGGUCUCUUCUUCCUUUCAACCUGUCUCCGUGAUUAAAUUCAUUCUUCCUUUCUGUUUUCCAGCUUCUCUCUGCAAACUUCCUCUCAGUCCUUUUCUGCGAGAACCUUUCCUGCAAACCAGGUCCCUAAGAGGAUUAGCGAGGGGGGGUACCAAUUUAUUUAUACCCACCUCAGCCUGGCGGCAGCCCAAGACGGUACGUUGCUGGGUUGUGGAAUGGCCUGUAGCACAGGGAAGAAGCUUCUGGUGCAGCUCAGAGUGGACAACAAGUGUCUACCUCAGAGCUGCUCUGCAUUUAUCCCCAGUUCUGGCGUUUGGGUUUUUUUUUUUUAAUUUCUUAACCUGUUCACAUCGGUAAUAUGGACAGGCGUGUUCAGAACUGAAUGAACUACAGAGAUUUGGCCCCUUUUUAAAUAUCAGAACAAUUUUCAGGUCUCUUUCAGUCGCGCUUAUUUCACUCCUAAACUCUCCCCCCACCCCCCAACCAACAGAACAAAAGAGAAAUAUGAGGAGUUGUGGAAACCCCUCAAACUUGCUCUGUUUAAAUUACAAAUUCCUGGUGGUCUCAGUGCCAGGUGAUGUCGCCAUUUGUGUUUUCUUCUCUACUGCCUGGCUGGAACGCUCCCUGAGCAGCAAGCUGAGUUAAAUACAUAGCUAUGAUCAAAAGAAAAUGACACCUCUAUUUUUUUUAAUUUUUUUUUUUGUUGGUGCCAGCCUGGAGGCCCUUAGGUUUUGGAAUUUGAGUCUUUGAAAAACAAGGUUACUGGACUCUAGUAAAUGAAGUGUCCGGAUGUUAGUGAUGAUUCAUAAAAGCAAUUAAAAAAGGAAAGUGCUUUUCCGCUGAGCGUAAUGUCUUGGUUUGAAGAUGUCCUCGAGUAUGUGUGUAAUGCUGGUCAGUGGAUAGUCACCGCUGUGUUUAAGAUUAUGGAUCCGUUUCCAGCAUAACACUUGUUUUCACAUGGUUCUGAUGAUCAAAACUAUUUUUUUGGUAGUUGAAUCUUUCUUACUUAAUUUCUAUUUAAAAAUAGUUGCCAUCUCUUCCUUCUUCUUAAAUUGGUGAAAAGAAAAUCUGCUGAGGAUUCAAUAUUUUCCAUGGGAGAUAUUUUCAAUGUAAAUAUUGGAGAUGGCAAAUAAUUGAAAUUCAUCAAACACAAUUUUUUCCUUCCCAGUGCUACUCUCUCGCAUUUCGGCCCUGACCUUCCCCGAACACAAACCACCCCAUUUGUACAGCUUUCAAAGCCAUUUUCAAUAAGCAAGACUGAACUCGGUUAAAACAUGAUUAGGGUUCUUGUUGGGUACAAAGAUCCAUCAGCCCAACCACGUUCCCUAAGCAAGAAGCAGACCCCGAGGCGCACUCCACAACCUCCUUCCUACACGGCUUUUCCAGGCGUCUCAACCAACCUGUUGGCUGUUGGGGGCAGCUUUUAGGCUCUUCUGGAGCAGAUAGUCCCAGUCUUACUGCCUUCUCCAGGCGGGUGCCUCUCGCCUCUCCAGGGGCCUGUGCACCUUCCAAAGUCGGGGCUUCAAUUUGCACUGUCCGCGGUUGGACCAUGCAGAUGUGCUAAGGGAAGCAAAAUAGUUUACUGAUUUAUCAUGGAUCAUUAGAUGGAGUAACUAUUCUUAAAACAUCACCAGUAUAGAUACAAUAAUUAGAGAUGUGCUUUUUGUUAACAUUGCCAGCCUCUACCCUCUUGUACAGUACCCUUGGGUACUAAAUAAUUACCCACUUUGUGUGGUUAUCUAGCUCACUAAUUACCCACAAAAAUUGGGGUCAGGUGUUAACUGCUUGAAAUAAGUAUCCUCCGAAGACUUGGUUAAAUUGUAUAAAGAAAUUAUGUGUUUGCAGCAAAACUUUAAAGAAAAAAAAACAACAAAACAAAACAAAUAAAAAAAACACCAAACAUUUCUUUUUUGGAAGG